UUUUUGUGUCUUCGGCAGCGGUAGUCCCAACACCAUCAGCCCUACCCUCUUACUCUUCCACCCCAUCGGUCAAAACUCCUCCCCCAAAUCACUCCUUCAUACCAAUCCCUAAUCUCACAACCCUAGCUCAACGGCGCCUCCCUUCCCUCACGCCGAUUUGCUUCCAUCGCGGCAGUCAACCGCCGGCGCUCUGUCGGCGGCGUCGCAGGGUCGUCGAUACCCUCGCGUCUAGACGUUCACUCCUACUCCUAUAUCGACCGAGGCUCAGUCGGUUCAGGUGAGAAACCGCGUCUCUGGAGGGCACGCCGACCGCUGCCCUCUUCGUCGCGCCAUAGCCGUCGCGAUUCUCCGAGCUCCACCUCCCCUCUCACUCUUCGGUGGUGGCUCCGUUUCUUGGCGGUUCAGUCGCCAUCCCUCAGCGCCGUCGGCUCAACCCAGGAAUUCCAGGCUGGGUGUCUAACUCCGUCGUCGUUCGACUCGUGCCGGACAGCCCCGUACUAAGCUAAGCCCUCUAGCUAGAUUUAAUUUCCAAGUUAAAGUCUUGUAUGAUAUAGUUUGCUGGGGUGAGUUCUUGAUCAGCUUAAGCUUCUACUGGUUUUGUUCAUGAGGCUGCCUAGUAUUUCUCGUUCUAAACUCUGUGUUACAACAAUUUUCUAAACGUUAAUUUCUUGGUCUUUAAACAAGAAGGUUUUGUGCUUGCUACUGUUGUAGAUGAGGGAUUGUUAAGCUUUAUUCUAAAAGUAAGAGAGCAUGCUUGGGCAGAUUGUGAUUCAAGUUUUUAAGCUUCUACAUGAUGCUAUGAGAAAAGACUGGGAGAAGGGAUGGAGGUGAAAUACCUCUUGAAGUAGUUACUGCCUUGAAUUCUUGCUCCUAGAACAACAAGCUCUCUAACUCUCCAAAUUUGCUUAAUUUUUGGGGUGUGUGGGAGGGGAUCCGAAGGUGGUAUGGAGGGGGUCUUUGUAGAGAAAUUUUGGUGUACUUUGGUGAAUUAAAUGACUGAUAUGGUAGUUUGUCUCCACUUUGCAGCAUAUCUCUCUAGUUGAUUCACCUUGUAUGACUUGAAUUUGGUGGUACUUGGUUAUUACUCCAAUUUGUUUGCUCAUUGCAGGGGUGGUUUUUGGAGGAUAGUAGUCCAUAGGUGCUGGUUUGAGGAGGGGAUUUGCAGGCAUUAACUUUCUGUUCUUGGUGGAACAAGACUUGGGCUGCCAGCUGCCAUCCGCGAUACGGCCUCGCUGCCCCCGGCCCAACGGCUACCUCUGACACGGCCCGUGAAGAGUGUGAUUUGGGCUUGGGGAGAUGAGGCCCAAAAUGCAUAUUUUGUAUUCUUAAACUCCAUCUCAUCAAUUCUUGUGUAAAAUAUUUUGUAACUAGAUAGUAGCUUGAUAUGUAUAUAAAAAGAUAUUCAAACACUUUUAGUCUAGAAUAAACCUUCUAUUCUUUAUCGAUGUUUGUAAAUUUUCAUAAUUAUAUGAAAAUCGUUUUGGUUC